rnacentral:lncRNA from 1 species
ACAACAAUCACUGAUUACAAAGAGAAGUACUGAGUUUGUACUACGCUCUCAUGGCGAACGUAGCUGAAGGUCUCAUAACGACUCUUCACACAACAAAUCUCAGCAUGAAAAACAAAUGAAAAUACAACGAGAGUCUUUUAUUUGAAAUCCUGAAAAUAUCUUCUUGGCAAAGCCUCCACCUCAGUCCUCGGCUUUGCUACCCACUUGUUGACCCGAACCCUCCAUUCCAAUCAGAGUCUCUCCACCCUCUGCUACUUCCAACUUCAAACCCCCAUUAUCCAUUUCCCUCUCUUCCAACGUCUCUCCACCCUUCUCAUGUCUCUUCCUCCGGAAAUACACACGCUGGAGCGUAUCAGUACCCCGCCCCACGAGACGAAGCUUGUCCUCAAGCGGAAAAGUAGGAAAUUGCCUCGCAAAUUCCCAACCCAACACCCACGAAGCCUCAUGUGUCGGCAAGCUCACCCACUGAACUAGAAUCUCCAAGUAUCCUUCCGCAGUGUAGCGAGUGUCCAAAAUCGAUUGAGGAAUCAAAAUGAACUCUCCCUGAUCCGAAAAUGUUGUCGGUAAAGAUGUCACCUGCUCUGCCGAGCCCACAACGGCCUUUAGCUGAGAAACAUGAAACACGUUGUGUACCCGAGACCCUUCUGGCAGACGUAAGCGAUACGCCACCUUUCCAAUACGCUCAAUGAUCUCAUAUGGGCCAUAGAAUUUGGCCGCAAGUUUCUGACAGAUACGGCGAGUCACAGACUGUUGUCUAUAUGGUCGGAGCUUCAGAAAAACCUUAUCGCCUACCGCGAAUUCCAAAUCCCGGCGAUGCUUAUCAGCCGAACGUUUCAUAGCUUCUUGCGCUCUGCUCAAAAACGCCUUCAACUGCUCAAGCAUGCGAUCACGCUCCAAUAACAUAGACUCCAGAUCAAAGUUAGCUGUAGACCCAACUUCAUAGUGACACAAGGAAGGAGGAUCGCGACCAUACACGACCUUGAAAGGUGUGGUGUGUAUGGAAGUGUGAUAACAUGAAUUAUACCAAUACUCUGCCCAACUCAAGUACUUGUACCACGUUUUUGGAUGUGCCGACGCAAAGCAGCGCAAAUAGGACUCCAAACAACGGUUCAAGACCUCCGUCUGACCGUCGGUUUGAGGAUGAAAGGCGGUGCUGUAUUUCAAUUGAGUGCCCGAAAGACGGAAACACUCCCUCCAGAACGUACUGAGAAACACCUUAUCCCGAUCAGACACGAUCGAGGAUGGAAACCCAUGGAGCUUGACAAUCUCCGAAAUGAAUUUGCUCGCAACAUCCAACGCAGAAUAAGGAUGCUUCAGACCAAAGAAAUGACUGUAUUUGCUUAGCCUGUCCACGACCACGAAAAUCACAUUGAAUCCUGAAGAAGCGGGCAACCCAUCAAUAAAGUCCAUGCUGAUGUCCUGCCAAACUUGAGAAGGAAUCGGGAGUGGUUGAAGAAGGCCAGAUGGAGACAGUGUAGAGGUCUUGUGAGUUUGACAAAUCACACACCGAGAAACAUACUCCUGAACCAUUACACGCAUUCCUUUCCACUGAAAAGAUUGCUGUAUGCGCUUCAAGGUCUUGAGCACUCCCGAAUGACCCCCAGUAAGACCAUCAUGACACUCUUGCAAAAUUAAAGGAACAAAGCGAGAUGUAUGAGGAAUCACCAACCGUUUCUUGUACCAAAGUUUGCCAUCAACGAUAGAGUAACCCUGUUUCACCGGUUCUCCCGCUAGUACUUGUUGCUUAAGAGCCUGUAUGUCCUCAGAAAGCUCAACCUCUGCAUAGAUAUCUUGCAACUGAAGCAUACGCGGCACUAUUAAAGCAAACAAGGACGAGCUAGUCCCCACGACAGAAGCCUGCAUCUAACGUGAAAGACCAUCAGCAGCUUUAUUCUCAAUUCCUGGCUUGUAUAGAAUGUCAAAUUGAAACCCCAUAAGACGCGUGAGCCAGCGCUGAUACUCCAUAGACACCUCACGCUGUUCAAGGAGAAAUUUCAAACUCUUUUGAUCAGUAUGGACCACGAAGCGACGACCCAUUAAGUAGUGCUUCCACUUAAGAAUAGCCAGAACAAUAGCCAUAAGCUCCCUUUCAUAUAUAGGCUUCAACUGUUCUCGAGGUGUUAAGCUGCGGCUGAAAUAAGCAAUAGGCCUAUUCUUCUGCAUUAACACAGCGCCCAAACCCACUCCUGAAGCAUCGGUCUCAACCACAAAAGGUUCAUUGAAAUCAGGUAACGCGAGCACAGGAGCCGUAGACAUGGCCUUCUUGAGUUGAUCAAACGCAAACUGAGCAAUCUGUGACCAACUGAACUUGUCCUUGCGCAACAGAUCAGUCAACGGUUUAGCCAAGAUACCAUAGUGAUACACGAAACGGCGGUAAUACCCCGUAAGACCCAAGAAUCCCCUCAAGUCCUUGACAGUCCGUGGUAUCGGCCAGCGCUGCAUAGCUUCAGUCUUAGAACUGUCCGUUGCCACACCCUCCGCCGAAAUGAUGUGACCAAGGUAUUCUACUUGUGGCUGCGCAAAGACGCAUUUCUUCCGGUUAGCAAACAACUUCUGAUCAGCCAAUACCUUAAGCACCACCCGAAGAUGUUCCACAUGCUCACUUUCAGUCGCACUAUAUACCAAAAUAUCAUCAAAGAAGACCAAGACAAACUUCCUCAAAUAAGGACGAAAAAUCUCAUUCAUCAGUCCUUGAAACGUAGCCGGAGCGUUAGUGAGACCGAACGGCAUCACCAAAAACUCAUAAUGACCCUCAUGUGUGCGAAAAGCUGUCUUCUCCACAUCACAAUCCUUCAUACGUAUCUGAUGAUACCCCGAACGUAAAUCCAACUUUGAAAACACCGACAUACCAUAAAGCUCAUCCAACAACUGAUCAAUCAUUGGAAUCGGGUACUUGUCAGGAACGGUAGCUCUGUUUAACGCCCUGUAAUCCACACAAAAACGAUGUGACCCAUCCUUCUUACGAACUAGCAACACAGGACUAGAAAACGGGCUACAACUUGGUCUGAUAAUUCCACUCUGCAACAUCUCUGCAACCAUCGUAGACAUGGCUUCCUUACUCGCAUGUGGAUAGCGAUAAGGACGGACCGAGAUCGAAGUAACACCCGGGGUCAAAUGUAUCGCAUGUUCUCUGCCACGACCCGGCGGAAGUUCCGUAGGUAUGGCAAAAACCCCCACAAAUUCUUCUAACAACUCUUCCACCACCGCCGGAACCCGAGUGUCAACCACAGAAGCUUCCCCUAACUCCAAUACAUCUUCAAAGUCAGGAACCCGCAUUGAACGGAGCGCCACAGCCUGAAAGUGAAGAGAAGAAUCACCACGUAACGUUAACGUCUGGGCGCCGUGUUUAAAUGACAUCUCUUGUGUCUCCCAAUUCAUCAAACACGUGCCUAACGUUCGCAACCAAGAGAUUCCCAAGAUAACAUCCGCUCCACCCAAUUCCAGAGCCACAAAGUCUCCCUUGAACGACACUCCUUGUAGUUGAAAAGGAACAGUCCUACAAAUUCCCAAAGCUUCAACGUUAACCCCCGUUCCAAGUAAGACCUGAAACUUCUUUUCCGUAGAUAACGGUAAAGUUGCCUUGUCAACCACGUGAGGAGCCACAAAGUUAUGUGUAGCACCACUGUCGAUCAUUACUACAAAUUCCUGCUGUCCAAAUAUCCCUUUAACCUUCAUCGUUGUCGGUGUAUCAAUCCCCAGGAAGGCAUUAAAAGAUAACUCCAUUGGUCUCUGAUCCAACUCCUCCACAGCACCAUCCCAUGCAAACACCCCCUCAUCCAAAAUUUCUACCUCAAAUCCAUUGAUUACUGUUAACACCUGCAACUCCUUCUUUGGACAGAAAUGAGGUUUAACAUACGGUCCCUUACACUUGAAGCAAAUACCAUCUCUCCUCAUCUGAUCCAGCUCCGCAUCCGUAUAUUUCAAGCGAGGUCGAAACGUUCCAGAUGCCGGAGCAGCAUUCUUCUCACCCGUAGCUACCGUACGUCCAGUAUUACUAGACCACGUCCUCCCAAACGUACUCGCUGUUGAUCGACGCCCUUGACUAUCAACCGCCACCGCUCCCACAGAUUUACAGAAUGCACUACCCUCCAUACUGAUCACCGCUGUAAUGUGCUCCGUUAAUCCCUUAGGUUCCUUCAUCUUAAUCACCUCCUGCAUCUCUGGCUUCAAACCAUUGUAAAACACAUGGACCAAAUUACGCUCAUCCACUCCUGUCACAAUAGAUCGCAAGGCCUCAAACUCAUUCACAUAAUCCAUAAUCGAACCUGUUUGUUUCAAAGAAAACAAACGCUUCCCAGGUUCAUCCUCCAACCUCUGGCGAAAUCGUGACACCAAUCUCCUCUUAAAUUGCAUCCAAUCAAUAAAUGGUUCAGUCUCCAUCUCUGCGUUGAACCAAUUCAACACUGGUCCUUCCAAACUCAUUGAGACGAACUGCAACCUUUCUCUACCAUGGAAAUUCCCAAUCCGAAAAUACCUCUCCACUCGAGCCAACCACUCAAAUGGAUCCUUCCCCGAAAACACUGGCAUCUCUACCUUCUUCAACAAGCUUUCAUGAUUCUCAAACACCGAAGGAGGUAGUUGAUAACCUUGAUUAACAGCUCCCAUACCUGAUCUUGUAGAAGAAGAUAGUUCCGGAGGAGGCGAUCGCGGUGAAGCGAUCCUCUUCCCUUGUGCUUUCUCCGUUUGUUGAUCCAACAGUAACUGAGUCAGACGAUCGAAUCGCUUAUCCAACGAGUCGAAACGAGCAUCGUAAGACGCUAAUCUCGUUUCCACCGAUCGGAAGUGUUCUUCCGUCACCUGCGCCUUGAUCUGCAAUCGUUCGCACUCAGAAUGAAGAAACGAGAUCUCAUAGCUCGUCGCCAUCUUCGAAUCCACUCCAUCACCCAAAGUAUCACCACCAUCAUCACUAGUCGCCAUCGCCAGUCCGAUCGUUCACAACGCACCAAUUUGAUAAGAUCUGAAGCACGAACUCUCUUAUCAACACCUCUCUUUGAACAAUGUAUGUGUAUAAGGGAAUGAAUCGAUCAAAUGAUAUAAACAACAAUCACUGAUUACAAAGAGAAGUACUGAGUUUGUACUACGCUCUCAUGGCGAACGUAGCUGAAGGUCUCAUAACGACUCUUCACACAACAAAUCUCAGCAUGAAAAACAAAUGAAAAUACAACGAGAGUCUUUUAUUUGAAAUCCUGAAAAUAUCUUCUUGGCAAAGCCUCCACCUCAGUCCUCGGCUUUGCUACCCACUUGUUGACCCGAACCCUCCAUUCCAAUCAGAGUCUCUCCACCCUCUGCUACUUCCAACUUCAAACCCCCAUUAUCCAUUUCCCUCUCUUCCAACGUCUCUCCACCCUUCUCAUGUCUCUUCCUCCGGAAAUACACACGCUGGAGCGUAUCAGAA